ensembl:lncRNA
CAGAAAUCUUGAUGUUUGGUAUGAAGACUUGCUGCAGUAGGGUUGCUGAUUGCAGCCUGUAAAACUAAAAGCUACAGUUAGGAAAAUUUAGAUGCUGGUCUGUCAUUUAAUGGUUUGGGUGGUGGUUUCUUCUCAAUGCAGCUGACACUGACAUGGUUUAGUGUUUGUGUGUGUGUAUGUGUGUGUGUGUAUGUGUGUGUGGUGCUAGUGUGAAUGGAUCAGCUACAGCAGGAUUAUUGGGAAAAACUGUGAUCAGCGAUUGGUCGUUGGGAACAAUGGCGCUCAAUGAUUGGUUGUUGGGAACAAUGUAAAUCGUUUAUUGACUGUUCAGGACAACGUAGAUUAAAGAUUGGCUGUUGGGAACAAUGCGGAUCAGUGAUUCAUUGUUGGGAACAACAGUGUUCAUUGAUUGGUUGCUGGAAACAUUGUAGAUCAUUGAUUGUUGGGAACAACGUAGAUCAGUGACUGGUAAUUGGGAACGAUGGCACUCAGUGACUGGUUAUCGGGAACGAUGUAGGUCAGUGACUGGUUGUCGGGAACGAUGUAGGUCAGUGACUGGUUGUUGAGAAUGAUGGUGAUCAGUGAUUGGUUGUCGGGAACGAUGUAGGUCAGUGAUUGGUUGUUGAGAAUGACGGUGAUCAGUGAUUGGUUGUCGGGAACGACGUAGAUCAGUGACUGGUUGUUGAGAACAUUGUAGAUCAGUGAUUGGUUGUUGGGAAUGACGGUGAUCAGUGAUUGGUUGUUGGUGAGUCGAGUGACCUGCUCUCUCAACUCUUACAACCAGCAGCUGUCAUGUGAGCUGUAGAGUCGUAUCAGUCGCUAACGUCUGCUCAAAAAGCCGACAUAUUUGCUGCUAGAAGUGAAAUAAAGUUGCAGUGGAGUUUAAAAAGUCAUCAAAUCUAGUGCCAAAGUCAGUAAGUUGGCUACACAGUGUCUAAUAAAGUGCAAUGCAUUAAAAGUGUUACAUUUCUGAGAAUGAGACACAACCAAAUUAUGUGCGCUCAGCGGUAGUGUUAUGGAGAUCCCUUUCUAUUUAUG